rnacentral:rRNA from 1 species
AUGAACGCUAGCUACAGGCUUAACACAUGCAAAGGUCGAGGGGGAAACGAUAUUGGAAGCUUGCUUCCGAUAGGCGUCGACCGGCGCACGGGUGAGUAACGCGUAUCCAACCUGCCCAUCACUUGGGAAUAACCUUGCGAAAGUAAGACUAAUGCCCAAUGACAUUUAUAGAAGGCAUCUGAAAUGAAUUAAAGAUUUAUCGGUGAUGGAUGGGGAUGCGUCUGAUUAGCUUGUUGGCGGGUAACGGCCCACCAAGGCUACGAUCAGUAGGGGUUCUGAGAGGAAGGUCCCCCACAUUGGAACUGAGACACGGUCCAAACUCCUACGGGAGGCAGCAGUGAGGAAUAUUGGUCAAUGGACGAGAGUCUGAACCAGCCAAGUAGCGUGCAGGAUGACGGCCCUAUGGGUUGUAAACUGCUUUUAUAAGGGAAUAAAGUGAGCCUCGUGAGGCUUUUUGCAUGUACCGCAUGAAUAAGGACCGGCUAAUUCCGUG